ACGGGAGGCAGCAGUGGGGAAUAUUGGGCAAUGGGCGAAAGCCUGACCCAGCAACGCCGCGUGAAGGAAGAAGGUUUUCGGAUUGUAAACUUCUUUUAUCAGGGACGAGGGAAGUGACGGUACCCGAUGAAUAAGCCACGGCUAACUACGUGCCAGCAGCCGCGGUAAUACGUAGGUGGCAAGCGUUAUCCGGAUUUACUGGGUGUAAAGGGCGCGUAGGCGGGGAUGCAAGUCAGAUGUGAAAUCCAUGGGCUUAACCCAUGAACUGCAUUUGAAACUGUAUUUCUUGAGUGUCGGAGAGGUAGACGGAAUUCCUAGUGUAGCGGUGAAAUGCGUAGAUAUUAGGAGGAACACCAGUGGCGAAGGCGGUCUACUGGACGAUAACUGACGCUGAGGCGCGAAAGCGUGGGGAGCAAACAGGAUUAGAUACCCUGGUA
rnacentral:rRNA from 1 species